GGCCCGCCAGAUUAUUACAAGUAAAAACUUAAAACUCAAAGGACUUGACGGUGUCCCACAUACAACCUAGAGGAGCCUGUCCUAUAAUCGAUGAUCCACGAAGGACCCGACCACCUUUUGCCUAACAACCUAUAUACCGCCGUCGAAAGUUCACCUUAUGAAGGGAAAAAAGUGAACAUAAUAGUCAAACACUAACACGUCAGGUCAAGGUGUAGUUUAUAGGGUGGCCAGAGAUGGGCUACAUUUCCUUAUCAAGGAAAUACGAACGGAAAAAUGAAAACCAACCAGAAGGAGGAUUUAGUAGUAA
rnacentral:rRNA from 1 species